rnacentral:rRNA from 1 species
AAAAAAAUCCAUUGCCAUUAUCUUAGCCAUAUUAUACAGAAUGAGUUGAUUUCUCGUAUGUCUGCUGACAUUAGAAAUUUUAUCAUCAAGAUUGUCAAAGUGGCCAAAUAAUUCACUGUUAUCCUAGAUUGUACCCUGAAUGUGAGUCAUCAAAACCAAAUGAGUUUGUUGGUUUGAUGUUCAUAUGUCUGAUGAAAAAAUACAAAUUGUGGAGUACUUUCUUCAUUUUUUGUAGUGGAUGACACAUAUGGUUUGGGAAUUUUUAAGGUAUUGGUUGAUUCUAUGAAGUCCUUCGAUCUUAAUAUUAAUGACAUUAGGGGCCAAGGUUAUGGCAAUGGAUCUAACAAAAAAGAAAAUAAGGGGGUGUGAAGUGGGUUACCUGAGGUAAAUCCAAGAGCUUUGUAUAUGACAUGUGCUUGCCACAGUCUCAACCUCACUCUUUGUGAUAUGGCUAAAUCUUGUGGUAAAGUUGUUUUCUUUUUGUGGAAUUGUGCAACGAAUAUAUGUAAUAUUUAG